rnacentral:rRNA from 1 species
GACGAACGCUGGCGGCGUGCCUAACACAUGCAAGUCGAACGCGAAAGGGGGCUUGCCCCCAAGUAAAGUGGCGCACGGGUGAGUAACGCGUGGGUAACCAACCCCUAGGUGGGGGAUAACGGCCCGAAAGGGACGCUAAUCCCGCAUAAGACCACGAUAGCGCAGGCUAUUGGGGCCAAAGGAGUGAUUCGCCUAGGGACGGGCCCGCGUCCCAUCAGCUAGUUGGUAGGGUAACGGCCUACCAAGGCAGUGACGGGUAGCUGGUCUGAGAGGAUGAUCAGCCACACUGGGACUGGAACACGGCCCAGACUCCUACGGGAGGCAGCAGUGAGGAAUUUUGGACAAUGGGCGAAAGCCUGAUCCAGCAACGCCGCGUGAGUGAUGAAGGCCCUCGGGUUGUAAAGCUCUUUCAGGGGGGAUGGAGAAAGGACGGUACCCCCACAAGAAGCACCGGCUAACUCCGUG